ensembl:lncRNA
GUUAAAACUGAAGGAGCUGAAUGAGCAGCUGGAGUCAAAGCUGCAGGACAUCUCCAAACUUCAGGAGCGAGAGAAGGCCCUGACCACCACCUUCAUCGCCUCACUUGGAGACAACAACAAGUUUGAAGAGUUCCUCACCAGAGUCUUCAAGAAGGGCAUCAAAAGACUGAAGAAGAAGGAGAAGGCUGUAGAGGAAGAGCAGGGGACAGGCAGCGAGGAGGACGAAGAUGAGGAAUGGGAUGAAGAUGUGGAUGAAGAUGAUGCAGACAUGGACGAAGGGGGUGCUCCUCUGGAUGACAACUGUGAGCUGGCACUAUUCGAAAACGUGCUGCAGCUGAGAGAGCGCAGACUGGACCUGCAGGAGCAGCUACAGGAGGACAGGAGGAGCGCCGAGGCUCUAAAGAAGGACUGUGAGACCCUCACCAAGAAAGGGCAAAGACUGAGGAGCAGUUGCAAGGCAGUGGAGGACGACCUAGAGCUGAUGGCCCGAGAGAAGCAGC